UACGUAGGGGGCUAGCGUUGUCCGGAUUUAUUGGGCGUAAAGAGCGUGUAGGCGGCCAGAUAGGUCUGCUGUGAAAACUCGAGGCUCAACCUCGAGAUGUCGGCGGAAACCAUUUGGCUAGAGUCCGGAAGAGGAAAGUGGAAUUCCUGGUGUAGCGGUGAAAUGCGCAGAUAUCAGGAGGAACACCCGUGGCGAAAGCGGCUCUCUGGACCACUACUGACGCUGAGGCGCGAAAGCUAGGGGAGCAAACAGG
rnacentral:rRNA from 1 species